GCGGGUGUAACUCAGUUGGUAGAGUGUUUGCUUCCCAAGCAAAAUGUCGCGAGUUCGAACCUCGUCACCCGCUCCA
rnacentral:tRNA from 1 species